GCUAGGACGUCAGGGCUAAGCAGAGGACUGGGACUAUAUUAGGACGACAUCCUAGUCCCAGUCCUCUGCAUAGCCCUGACGUCCUAGC
rnacentral:miRNA from 1 species